rnacentral:rRNA from 1 species
AGCGAACGCUGGCGGCAGGCCUAACACAUGCAAGUCGAACGAACCUUUCGGGGUUAGUGGCGGACGGGUGAGUAACACGUGGGAACGUGCCUUUAGGUUCGGAAUAACUCAGGGAAACUUGUGCUAAUACCGAAUGUGCCCUUCGGGGGAAAGAUUUAUCGCCUUUAGAGCGGCCCGCGUCUGAUUAGCUAGUUGGUUGAGGUAAUGGCUCACCAAGGCGACGAUCAGUAGCUGGUCUGAGAGGAUGAUCAGCAACAUUGGGACUGAGACACGGCCCAAACUCCUACGGGAGGCAGCAGGGGGGAAUCUUGCGCAAUGGGCGAAAGCCUGACGCAGCCAUGCCGCGUGAAUGAUGAAGGUCUUAGGAUUGUAAAAUUCUUUCACCGGGGACGAUAAUGACGGUACCCGGAGAAGAAGCCCCGGCUAACUUCGU